AGAACUUUUUUGUUUUCGGUCCCCUACCUGAGACCCUCUUUCUUUCUUCUUCUCUUUCUUUCUUUCUCUGCACACUCUCUUCUCUCUCGAAACCCUCUCAUCACUCUCACUCUCUCUCCCGUGAUUACCCUAGUACACGGCACCCAUACCAUCGUUCCGUAGACGGCAUCACCAUCAAAACCUCGUCUUUCUCUCUCUUCCUUUUGUCUCUGCAAGAUCGAUGAAACCCAGAAACCUCCGGCGAGUUUUCUUCAUUUUCUCCGGUUAGGUUUUGGAACGAGAUCAGGUCGGGGGAAAGCUCACCCAACUCCGGCGAACCCGUGACUGUUGAGAAACUUUCCGAACACCUUUGGCCAUUUCACGGCGAACCAAGCGUAUAAACUUACUCCUCUCUCUUUCCUCUUCACGUUGGUAAUUAGAUCGGAGUCUAAGGUUUGCAUUUGUAAUCGGCCAGAGCUGUAGAAGCUUCAGCGUUCUUCUCUGAUUUGCACAUAUCCAAAAUAUGGCGAUAUUAUCGGUAAUAUCGCGAUAUUAUCGAUAAUAUCACGAUAUUUUGAUGAAACCCAAUUGGAUACCUAUUAAAAUAUCGUUACCGCGAAAAACCGAUAAUAUCGGUGAUAUUUCGCCGAUAUUAUCGGCAUUUAAGACCUUGGGUUUAAUGUUCUUUUUUUAUUUAUUUGUUCUUUCUCUUAUAUUUUUUACAUCAGAAAAUAAAAGUGGGAAAGGGUCUCUUUCCAACACGCUACCAACUCCCCUUGUACAGGGCAGUAGUUGGCAGCCGUCCAACGUAGGUCAUGUGCGCGGUUGCGGCGGUGGGCCCUCCAACCUUUCACUCAGCUCUCUGGGCCCCGUACCUACUAUCCUCAACGCGACAAAGAGCUCACCUAAUUAAUUAAUUAAUUAUUUGUACCUGUCCUGCUACAAUAUGCCUGCUUUUAUAUUAUUUAUCUUUCUUUUUCAA